rnacentral:lncRNA from 1 species
CCUGAAGGCUUGGUUAAAUUCCUGGGUUCUUGUUGGAAUGUAAAUCAAGUACUGGUGUUCUGUUAAAAGCACCCUGGUACAGGGGACUACACUUUAACAGAAAGAAGAUUAGGUAUUCACGUAGGGUGGGUGGCUGGGGGUAAAAUUAAAAUUGCUUUAACUGUGAAACACAUUUCAUAGACUAUGGAUAAGCAGGACAAAGAUUUUCAAGAUCAGAAAGAUUUGUAAACAUUAUUUAUAUUGAGCAAAUAUUUCAGAUUUAGGUAAACAAUUGACGUGGCAAUAUUUGAAGGGAAUAUUUCAGGCUUUUAAAGCGUUGAAGAAGUUUAUGCUUUUCUCAUCUGAUUAUCUUGCUCCCUCAGACACCAGCUGGAGACAAUUUAGCCUCAUCGUCCCUUGCCAAACGACGCCAACGAUUCCUCAGGUUAGGAACAGACACACUCAGAGGGAAGCCCAUGUGAUGACAAUGGGAGAAGAUGGCUGUCCGCAAGCCCCCGCAAGAGACUGCAGAAGGAAGGUACCCUGCCCAAGCCCCCACGAGAGACCUCAGAAGGAAGGUACCCUGCCCACACCUUGGUCUUAGACUUCUACUGUCCAGGAUUGUGAGAAAAUUAAUUUCUGUUGUUUUAUGCCACCCAGUCUCUGGUACUUUGUUAUGACCCCCAAAUGCACUAAUACAACUUCAUUGAAGAGCCAGUCAGCUUUAACAGCCAUGUUAUUUCCCACUCACUCAGGACGUAGCAUAUAUCAAAGAAUUUUUAUUUUUACUCUUAUAGACUUUAGGCCCAGUUCCAAGCCUUGGACCUUCAAAGUGCACUGUUGUUGGUAGAGGUAAAUCAUAAGAAAAACAAAAGAUUUCACACACACAGGCAGGCAUGCACACUCACAUGCACACAGUCUUCAAUAUAGCUGAGUUUGUUAGUGGACUCUGUCUCCAGCUAACAUGGAAGAAGUAAUCAUUGUAAGCUCAGUGCUUUUCUUCUUUUCUGGAGUCUGGAGCUGGGCCUGGAGUCCCAAGUUCUAAGCAUCAUCACCCGGUCCCUUCCCAACAGGUAAUUAAUUAUGGCACCUCUUUAUCACAGGAAAUGUGAUAAACCCACCUAUCAAUCCCUAAUCACAGGCAAUAAGCAUUGUUGGAAGCAUGUUAUUUAUCCACCCAGGUUAUAUGUUUCCAUGAUAGCAGAAGUUUUCUGGAAGCCAGGCCUUAAUGCAGAUGGACUACUUUAAUUUUAAGAGUUGUGGCAGAACCAGGGGUGUGUGGUUUAUCCCGUGAGGUCUCUCAGUGUCUCCAAGCACAGGGGUGUCUUGAAGGGACAGGGCAUGCCAUUUUGCCUUCUGAAAAACUGCUGAUGGCCUGAGGUGGUUGUAAGAAGUGGAAUAAUGGUCCUCUGAGGAUGUCCACAUCCUGAUCAGGAACUUGUGAAUAUGUUACUUUACAUGGCAACAGGAACUUUGCAGGGGGAAUUAACCUAACACUCUUGAGAUGGGAGAAGAUUCUGAAUUACCUGGAUCAUCCCAGUGUGAACCCAAGCAUCCCUCUAAGUGAAGGAGGGAGCAGGAGGCAAGGAGCAAGAGAUGUGACUGAUGAUAGAGCAAAGGUCAGAGUGAUGAGCUCAAGAAUGCAGGUGGCCUCUGGAAGCUGGAAAAGGAAAGGAAUGGGGUUUCUCCUGGAAUUUAGAAGGAAUACAGAUCUGCCUCACACCUUGAUUUAAGCCCGUAAAACCCAUUUCUGACUUCUGACCUCCAGAAUGCUGAAAUAAACCACUAAGGUUGUGGUAGUUUGUUACAGAAGCAACAGGAAACCAAUACAGAUGUCCAGAAACCUGGUUGCUCAGCUGUGCCUCUGCAAUUACAGGACUUCUAAAACCUGAGCAAUGUGGGAGCCUAGAACCCCAAGUAACUUCUCUCCAUAGC